UACGUAGGGGGCUAGCGUUGUCCGGAUUUAUUGGGCGUAAAGAGCGUGUAGGCGGCCAGAUAGGUCCGUUGUGAAAACUGGAGGCUUAACCUCCAGCUGUCGAUGGAAACCAUCUGGCUAGAGUCCGGAAGAGGAGAGUGGAAUUCCUGGUGUAGCGGUGAAAUGCGCAGAUAUCAGGAAGAACACCCGUGGCGAAGGCGGCUCUCUGGGACGGUACUGACGCUGAGACGCGAAAGCGUGGGGAGCAAACAGG
rnacentral:rRNA from 1 species